CAGAGGACCCGAGCGAAACAGCCCUCCCGACAGCGCCGCCGCAAGGAACCUCAAGCAGCGUCGCCCCUCCCCUCCUCUCGCUCGCUCCGCACAUGCGGUGGUUUCUGUCGAGGACGGAUCUGAAAGUCCUCGGGCGCGCUACCGCCGGAUCCUAUCUCUCUCGUCCAGAAGUUACACGCACGUCGUGUUGGCUCUGGGCGCGGACGUCCAGCAGGCCACGUCGGUCGGUUGCUGGUGGCGGUACAGCGGGUCACCGUGGAUACAAUAGCAGCAGUACUUCUCAUGAUAGUUCACCAAAUCACGAGUUGCGGCUAAUAAUGGGCAAGGAAAAGCAAGCAGCCACAACAACCAACCGAGGGCAAUUCAUAACAGAAACCAAGAUUGUAUAAUGUGAGGUUUACACCCGGAGGAAGAACACAAGGAGAAAAAAUAUGUAACCCAUGGACAGCCUAACAUUCCUGUAUGCACUGCACACUCAGAGACAAUGAUUCAGUUAGAAGCAGUUCCUGAAGAAUUAUGAGAGUGCUAAAGUUUCAGAGGAUAUUUGUCUGUUCGGCUAAUCACCCUAUGACCUCGACAAUCAUGUUGAAUGUGGAGAAAUUGAGAGGGUUGGCAGAAAGAGAUCUCCUCUUGGUGAUGCUCAUCAACAUUAUUGCUGCAGCAUUACAGGCCAGUGGCUAAAUCCUUGUGUUCUGCGCUGCCUCGUGCAUCAUCAUCAUACAUUGAGAGAAACGAUGUUGAGGCCGGAAUGCACCUGAAAAUGCACAGAGAGGGAGGGGCAGCCCAGUGCAUGUAGCUCCCGCUUGCGCAGGGUCCGGGGAAGGGUCCGACCACUUUGGGUCUAUAGUACGCAGGCUUUCCCUACAUUUCUGUAAGAGGCUGUUUCCAGGACUUGAAAAUGCACAGAGACUUUGUUAAUUGUUUCUGCUGUUGUUUGCCUGCCAACAAGAACUUAAGAGGGCACAGAAAUUACAUCAUAAUGAUGAAUAGUAUUAAAGCUGCUGGAGCAACGAGGGAGCAGUCGAUGGAAUUCUCUCCUGCCUGUCUUGUGUUCACCGCCAUGAACAAUGCGUUGGUGAUCUUCUGAUUGGGGGUCAGCCCCGCAAACGCUGCAGAAUCCCAGUUCAAGCAGCACAAGAGUGUGAUGCCCAUGGUUAUGAGAGCAGCUACAGUGGUUGCAAGGAAUACCGUCUGCUGGUUAGGCAGAAAGUGGCUGAAACCCACUGCAUUUGUGUUGUUCAUCAUGAACUCAAACUCGUCAGGUUUAUCUCUGGUUAUUCUUACUCCUCUCAGAGUCUCAGUGCCCAUAUCGCCAACCUUAGAUACACAGGAAACAACGUGUUGCCAACAAGAAUCUGGCCAGUGAAGCCCUGGUUCGAAGAGAACACCACCAGGCUUUCGUUCAUCGGCAUCAAUCCUCCGUUGGUGAAACAAGAGACAGUGACCGAUAUAGAGAAAAUCAUGGAGUCGAUACCUUUCCUUGUUAAAACAUCUCUUGCAAUUGAAACAUGUGCUAAGGCAUGCGACUGGGACUGCUCUUAGGGCCGACAUGCGAACAUGAUGAUUGUUCAAAUGGAAAGGCGUUGCUCGACUGAAAACUCGAGGUAAACCGAGUAAUUGUUACUGUUCUGAAGAUGGCAAUGGAUUACUACUUUCGAAAAAGACAGCAGAGAAGGCUCAGCAAACUCAAUAGCUGUAUCCACUUGCAUUAUUUGUGUGUUUGUUUUGACUCUGGCUUCCCUACUGGCCUUAAGUGAUCCGCGUGUAGAGUUAUUUCUUCAAAUAAAUAUACAAAGCAAUUAAGCAUUAGCGUAUAACUCAAACCUGUUAGCUGGGUUUCCAUGUUAGCCCAGCCUGUUGAUUAACUCAUCAGUAAGGUCAAUUAACUUUA